rnacentral:rRNA from 1 species
GAUGAACGCUGGCGGUAUGCCUAAUACAUGCAAGUCGAGCGGACAAACGAGGAGUUUACUCCGAUGAAGUGGGGGGCGGGCGGGUGAGUAACAGGAAGAUACCCGGCAGAUAGGGCUGAGAUCACGUCGGGGAAGCUGAGAUCGUACAGGAUAAGAUGGUGAAAGGGGGGGAUCAUCGGACAUCGAGGGACUAGAUGUGACUAGGUCGUAUUAGCUAGUUGGUUGGGUAAAGGCGUACCAAGGCGACGAUCCGUAACUGAUCUGAGAGGAUGAUCAGUCACACUGGAACUGAGACACGGUCCAGACUCCUACGGGAGGCAGCAGUAGGGAAUAUUGGACAAUGGGCGAAAGCCUGAUCCAGCCAUGCCGCGUGUGUGAAGAAGGUCUUCGGAUUGUAAAGCUCUUUUAGUUGGGAGGAAGGGCAGUAAGAUAAUACCUUGCUGUUUUGACGGUACCUACACAAUAAGCACCGGCUAACUUCGUG